UACGAAGGGGGCUAGCGUUGUUCGGAAUUACUGGGCGUAAAGCGUGCGCAGGCGGCUUCUCAAGUCAGGGGUGAAAGCCCAGAGCUCAACUCUGGAAUUGCCUUUGAGACUGAGUGGCUUGAGUACGAGAGAGGUGAGUGGAAUUCCCAGUGUAGAGGUGAAAUUCGUAGAUAUUGGGAAGAACACCGGUGGCGAAGGCGGCUCACUGGCUCGUAACUGACGCUGAUGCACGACAGCGUGGGGAGCAAACAGG
rnacentral:rRNA from 1 species